rnacentral:lncRNA from 1 species
GACCUCAUCCUCAACUCUAACUGCAGGCGGACUCCGUCCGGACUCCUAUGGGAGCCGGACCUCAUCCUCGACUUCGACUAUAGGUAGACUCUGUCCGGACUCCUACGGGAGCCAGACCUCGUCCUCGACUUCGACUACAGGUAGACUCUGUCCGAACUCCUACGGGAGUCGGACCUCGCCCCCAACUUCUACUACUAGCGGACCUCGUCCGAGCUCCUACGGGAGCCGAACUCCACCCC